CGUAGUGCGUCGGGUGGCCAGGAGCAAUAGACGAUGACAAAGACGACACGAUGCGCGAGUUUGGCACGAGCGCGCCAAGCGUCGCAACGAAAAAUGGGAAACAAGCAUCAAUUGGCAAUUACACGGGAUGCAAACGCCGAAGGUGAAGAAGAAAGGAAAGAGGAGAGAGAACGGAACGUUUCUUUUUUUUCUUUUCUUUUACUUUGCAUUUCUCGUUUUCAAAUAAGAAUUUUCUUUGGCUACCGAUUCUUGGCCUAUCACCGUUUGUGGGUGCGAGCGAUGACAGGUUCAGCAUAAUCAUCAUCUACGUCGGCGGCUGGAAGAAGGGAAGGCGGCUGAGAUGCACGGUGGGGCCGUGGCGGCUCUCCUGAACCUGGGCGACGAGACCGUGGGAGAGCGGAUCGCCGGCACCAACGACUUCCACUCGAUCGCUGCUUGUCUCGUGGAGAGCCUGGGACGUCCCGCUAUGACUACUUCCAGACCACAAGGUGACAGUCGAGCCUAUCGUCAUGUAGGCUGCCCGUAACUGGCUACUCAACUCCGACUACUGCCUCAGGUGGUUCCCGCCAUCUUGAACUGGACUGCUCAAAGGCGAUAUCAUCACAGCAUACUGGUGAAUUCGUUAUUUGCUCGUGAUUUUCUCAGCUUUUGUUAUCCCUUGAUAACUUAGUGACGUAUCUGUUGACUCCGUUGCUUAUUAGUGUGUGACGGGCCUUGACCAUCUUUCUGCAUUUGAUAUGUAAUGUUAGCCUAGCGUAACUCCAAGUUUGCGUGGUGUUUUAAAAUGUGUGUCGGUUUCUGUUAUUGGUAAAGUCAGCUUUCGUGUGUU